rnacentral:rRNA from 1 species
UACGUAGGGUGCAAGCGUUGUCCGGAAUUAUUGGGCGUAAAGAGCUCGUAGGCGGUCUGUCGCGUCGGCUGUGAAAACCCGGAGCUCAACUCCGGGCCUGCAGUCGAUACGGGCAAACUAGAGUACUGCAGGGGAGACUGGAAUUCCUGGUGUAGCGGUGAAAUGCGUCAGAUAUCGGAGGAACGAACCAGCGGCUGGAGGCGAGCCUGGUCG